AUUGAACGCUGGCGGCAGGCCUAACACAUGCAAGUCGAACGAGAGGCGGACGGGUGAGUAAUGUCUGGGAAACUGCCUGAUGGAGGGGGAUAACUACUGGAAACGGUAGCUAAUACCGCAUACCAUCAGAUGUGCCCAGAUGGGAGUAGCGAGUUGGUGGGGUAAAGGUUCACCAAGGCCACGAUCACUAGCUGGUCUGAGAGGAUGACAGGCAACACUGGAACUGAGACACGGUCCAGAUUCCUACGGGAGGCAGCAGUGGGGAAUAUUGCACAAUGGGCGCAAGCCUGAUGCAGCCAUGCCGCGUGUAUGAAGAAGGCCUUCGGGUUGUAAAGUACUUGCAGCGGGGAGGCGUUACCCGCAGAAGAAGCACCGGCUAACUCCGUGCCAGCAGCCGCGGUAAUAC
rnacentral:rRNA from 1 species